rnacentral:rRNA from 1 species
CAGUAGCCACGGGAAUACGUAGGGUGCGAGCGUUAAUCGGAAUUACUGGGCGUAAAGCGUGCGUAGGCGGUUUGUUAAGUCUGUUGUGAAAUCCCCGGGCUCAACCUGGGAAUGGCAAUGGAUACUGGCAAGCUAGAGUGUGUCAGAGGAUGGUGGAAUUCCCGGUGUAGCGGUGAAAUGCGUAGAGAUCUGGAGGAAUACCGGUGGCGAAGGCGGCCCCCUGGACAAAGACUGACGCUCAGGUGCGAAAGCGUGGGGAGCAAACAGGAUUAGAUACCCGAGUAGUCCCUGUCUCUUAUAC